UACGGGGGGGGCAAGCGUUGUUCGGAAUUACUGGGCGUAAAGGGCUCGUAGGUGGCCAACUAAGUCAGACGUGAAAUCCCUCGGCUUAACCGGGGAACUGCGUCUGAUACUGGAUGGCUUGAGUUCGGGAGAGGGAUGCGGAAUUCCAGGUGUAGCGGUGAAAUGCGUAGAUAUCUGGAGGAACACCGGUGGCGAAGGCGGCAUCCUGGACCGACACUGACACUGAGGCUCGAAGGCCAGGGGAGCAAACGGG
rnacentral:rRNA from 1 species